rnacentral:misc_RNA from 1 species
GUGAAUCAUCGAAUCUUUGAACGCACCUUGCACCCUUUGGUAUUCCGAAGGGUAUGCCUGUUUGAGUGUCAUUAAAUUCUCAAACCUAUUGGUCUUUAUUGAUUAGUAGGCUUUGGAUGUGGGAGUUGCUGGCCUAACAGUCGGCUCUCCUUAAAUACAUUAGUGGCUUUGUCGAUCCCCAUUCACUUGGUGUGAUAGUAAUAUCUACAUUGAGGGAUGGCUAGGUCAUGUUAUGGCAACUGCUUUCUAACAGUCCUUUACUGGACAACUUGAACCAUUUGACCUCAAAUCAGGUAGGACUACCCGCUGAACUUAAGCAUAUCAAUAAGCGGAGGA